rnacentral:rRNA from 1 species
AGCUCCAAUAGCGUAUAUUUAAGUUGUUGCAGUUAAAAAGCUCGUAGUUGGAUUUCGGGUGUGCCGUCGCGGUCUGCCUCUGGUAUGUACUGCGUUCGGUGCACCUUCCUGCUGGGGACGGGUUCCUGGGCUUCACUGUCUGGGACUCGGAGUCAGCAAAGUGACCUUGAGCAAACAAGAGUGUUCAAAGCAAGCCUACGCUCUGAAUUUUUUAGCAUGGAAUCACAUGAUAGGACUCUGGCCUAUCUUGUUGGUCUGUAGGACCGGAGUAAUGAUUAAGAGGGACAGUCGGGGGCAUUCGUAUUUCAUUGUCAGAGGUGAAAUUCUUGGAUUUAUGAAAGACGAACAUCUGCGAAAGCAUUUGCCAAGGAUGUUUUCA